UACUGAUCAACCCAUCCCGCGUGUGCGAUGAAGGCCUUCGGGUUGUAAAGCACUUUUGGCGGGAAAGAAACGUCAUGGGCUAAUACCCCGUGAAACUGACGGUACCUGCAGAAUAAGCACCGGCUAACUACGUGCCAGCAGCCGCGGUAAUACGUAGGGUGCAAGCGUUAAUCGGAAUUACUGGGCGUAAAGCGUGCGCAGGCGGUUCGGAAAGAAAGAUGUGAAAUCCCAGAGCUUAACUUUGGAACUGCAUUUUUAACUACCGAGCUAGAGUGUGUCAGAGGGAGGUGGAAUUCCGCGUGUAGCAGUGAAAUGCGUAGAUAUGCGGAGGAACACCGAUGGCGAAGGCAGCCUCCUGGGAUAACACUGACGCUCAUGCACGAAAGCGUGGGGAGCAAACAGGAUUAGAUACCCUGGUAGUCCACGCCCUAAACGAUGUCAACUAGCUGUUGGGGCCUUCGGGCCUUGGUAGCGCAGCUAACGCGUGAAGUUGACCGCCUGGGGAGUACGGUCGCAAGAUUAAAACUCAAAGGAAUUGACGGGGACCCGCACAAGCGGUGGAUGAUGUGGAUUAAUUCGAUGCAACGCGAAAAACCUUACCUACCCUUGACAUGUCUGGAAUUCCGAAGAGAUUUGGAAGUGCUCGCAAGAGAACCGAACAGCACCAUCAGGCA
rnacentral:rRNA from 1 species